rnacentral:lncRNA from 1 species
UAUUUUUAGAUAAUGCAUAAUAUUUGAAGGAUUACAUUAUGAAAAAUAUAUUUUAAAUGGUUGCAAACACUUAGAGUAUACAAAACAACAUUUUAAAUUAAUUUAAUAAAAUUUAUUCUCUUAAAAAUUUUGUGUGGUUAUGGCUGUUACUUUUAUGCUUAUCCUUCUGAAUCCCAAACCUUGCAAAAACCCUAGUAGAUAACAUCAACAAGGGUGAUAUCGUCGAUGAGGAAAGCAGAACCUUAAGUGCUAGGGUUUUGAAUUACAUUUAAGACAAAAGUGACAGGUUUAUGAAAGUGUUGUUUUGAUUCAUCAAUAGAUGCAAUAAUAAGUUAGCCCACUCUUUAGCUAGAUAUGCCACUAAGGCCCAAACCAAAUGUGGAUGGAGGAAUGAGGCCCAAUUCAUGUAAGCUGGUUUUAGUUUUAAAAAAAAACUAAUAUUAGUCACACAUUUUUUUUUCAUGUAUCACUCAAAAUUAUUUGUCUCAUGUUUUUUAUACUUAUCAGUGACAAAUAUUUGUCCAAUAUAUUUUUAGUAUAUCGGUCUAAAAUGUUUAUAUAGUAUUUUUUUCAUAUAUUUAUCAGUAGUAAAUACAAGCAUCUUAUGUUUCUUAAUAUUAAGGCUUAAUUCAUAUUUUGGUCCCAUAAUUUAAUUUAUUGUUUCGCUUUGACCCCUUAGUUAAAAACGGUUACAUUAUAGUCCCUUAAAAUGAUUCUGUAAGUCAAAUAGAUCUAUUCCGUUAAAUUUUUCAGUAAAAAAACGUUAACU